UUUCCGUAGGUGAACCUGCGGAAGGAUCAUUGUCACACAUCCUAAUGGAUGCUUGUGCCAACAAGCAGACCCAGCGAACCAUUCUCCUAUCACUUGAGGGGCUGCAUCGCGAGGUGCAGCUGUCUGCGGUCGGGCCCUUGCUUCAGGGCCGGAGUCCUUGCUGGGUUCACCGUUGCAGGUGAGCACCGGCCGUCCGACGGGGGCCGCUCUUGGGCCUCGCACACGGGAGAGUGCGGGGGCGGCGUUUCCCACUCCAGCUGUCCCUUCCGGGGCAGCUGCGCAACCAACCAAAACACUAUGCAAAAACCGACUGAAGACCGAUCCUUUGCGGGCGCCUUCGGGAGCCCUGCCUCGGAUCAAAAACAAACUAAAGACAACUCUCAACAACGGAUAUCUUGGCUCUC
rnacentral:misc_RNA from 1 species